rnacentral:rRNA from 1 species
CCUACGGGUGGCAGCAGUGGGGGAUAUUGCACAAUGGGGGAAACCCUGAUGCAGCGACGCCGCGUGGGUGAAGAAGUAUUUCGGUAUGUAAAGCCCUAUCAGCAGGGAAGAAAGAAGACGGUACCUGACUAAGAAGCCCCGGCUAACUACGUGCCAGCAGCCGCGGUAAUACGUAGGGGGCGAGCGUUAUCCGGAUUCACUGGGUGUAAAGGGAGCGUAGACGGCCGUGCAAGCCAGGAGUGAAAGCCCGGGGCCCAACCCCGGGACUGCUCUUGGAACUGUGCGGCUGGAGUGCGGGAGGGGCAGGCGGAAUUCCUGGUGUAGCGGUGAAAUGCGUAGAUAGCAGGAGGAACGCCGGCGGCGAAGGCGGCCUGCUGGACCGCGACUGACGUUGAGGCUCGAAAGCGUGGGGAGCGAACAGGAUUAGAUACCCUUGUAGUC